CUGAUUACCAGCUCUCGGGUUGAUUCGCAAGAGUCCUCGAGAGUUGAUCAACCCUUUGUGCACUGUUCUGUUUUUUGGGUCUCUCUGGUUACCCUAAGAGGCCCAGCAUUAUACAAACCAUACCAAUUUUGACUUAAUCCUAUGAAAAUAGAAA
rnacentral:misc_RNA from 1 species